UUGGAGGGCAAGUCUGGUGCCAGCAGCCGCGGUAAUUCCAGCUCCAAUAGCGUAUAUUAAAGUUGUUGCAGUUAAAAAGCUCGUAGUUGAAUUUCGGGGUUCUACCGUUGGUCGGGCAAUAGUCUGUACUGGCGUGUAGAAUUUCUACCUUCUGGGGAACUAUCAUGUUAUUUAUUUAGCGUGGUAGGAAACCAGGACCUUUACCUUGAAAAAAUUAGAGUGUUCAAAGCAGGCUUACGUCUGAAUACAUUAGCAUGGAAUAAUAAAAUAGGACGGUGGUCCUGUUUUGUUGGUUUCUGAAUCACCGUGAUGAUUAAUAGGGAUAGUUGGGGGCAUUAGUAUACAAUUGUCAGAGGUGAAAUUCUUGGAUUUAUUGAAGACUAACUUCUGCGAAAGCAUUUGCCAAGGAUGUUUUCAUUAAUCAAGAACGAAAGUUAGGGGAUCGAAGACGAUCAGAUACCGUCGUAGUCUUAACCAUAAACUAUGCCGACUAGGGAUCGGACGAUGUUAAUUUUUCUUGACUCGUUCGGCACCUUACGGGAAAC
rnacentral:rRNA from 1 species